UCUGCACAGCAGUAAUAGGACCCUGAAGCAUCUAUUGUAUUCAGUGUGCUGAUUCUCCUCUUGAUAUCAUCUGAAAUGAAAGCUUAUGGGUGAAGACCGGAUUCUAUUAUUUUAUAAGGAGGCCAAGAUGGAUCAUUUCUAAUUGAAGGAGGGUAAUAUGUGAUGAUCAGUCCUCGACCAUGUUUGAAUUGACACAAUGAAACUUCACAGGGCUUGAAGUCACUUUUGAGUACUCGCAGGGUGACCUUCUGGACGGCAUGCAGUCAUUCCCGUAACUCUAAUGGACCUGUCCUGCUGGAUAUACUGAGGACCAGUGAUGAAGGUGUCAGGAAUGAUGGCUGAAGGACUUCUUCGGAUAUGUCCUUGACCAAUUUGUGAGACAGUUCUUGUAACUUUAACAUAAGCCCCUGAUGAAAGCGAGGGGUGCAUUUCAAGGUCAACUGGGCAGGUUGUACCUUUGUUAUUUUUUGUGCCUUGAUCAAAGCAAGAAAUAUAUAUAUUUUUAAACCUGCUGGACCAUUUCAAAGCUAUUCCUUUGUGCCUGGAUUCACAAAUGUGUAGACAGGGGAAGAAACAUUCAUGGAUUUUAUGAUAGUCACAUAGUUUUGGCUAGUACUUAAUUUUUAUUUGAAAAUUAUUUACUUUAAGGAAUUUAAGUUCCCCAGCUGUACAAGAUGUAUCCUCAGUUGAGCAACAAUAUCCACUGUGCUACAAUGAGAAUGACAUCACAAAGGUCAAAUUAAAUGAUCUUUUAUAACUUUGGGUUUUAUGCCAGAAAUUCUACUCAAGUUUGAUUAUUAAUGACCAAUCCCACAAAUGAGAAUUGCACCCCUCCAUUCCUGAGGUCGUCUUGUGCUAUUCAAUACCUUGUUCAAAGAUAGCAAGAGUUAAACACUGGCUUACAUGAAUGCAUAAUGGAUCUCCUUAUCUUCAAUUGGCAGAUUUAUUAUACAAACAGCCUAAGGCUGAAACUAUAGACUAGCACACUGUAUAUUUAACAUAAUAGGUAAAUGAAUAUCAGUCAAUGCUUAAUGGUGCAUGUACAAUGAUUUCAAACUUUUGCUAUUCUCCUUAAUGUGUCAAGAACAUCAAAGAAUGCUCCUUAAAAAGCUCCUUGAAAAUGAAUGUUCAAUUCUCUGCUAAUAGAGAGGCAUCCAGAAUCAGAAUAAUCAAGUCUCUCUGCUGUAUAGAGAUAUAGAUUAAAAGCAACCCAAGGAAAUCCCAAGCCAUAGUUAUCAGUCAGUGUAUUAUAGAUACCAUAAAGCUGUGUCCUUCUCACAUGUGUCAGGCAUAGUUAGCAAUCAGGCCCAUAAUAUGGAAUGAAUUGUUUCAUCCAGACAAUUUGCUUGAAGACUAGCGAAAAACAUAUUUAUCCAGUCCAUGCCUAAGAGCCAUUCAAACAGUGCUCUAAGAAUAGACAUGUAAAUUGUGGAAAUAAUGCAACUGUUGACAGAUUGUCACAGAUGACUCUACAUUCGUUUGAUGUGAACAUUAA